rnacentral:rRNA from 1 species
CAGUCUCAGUUCAGAUUGUAGGCUGAAACUCGCCUAUAUGAAGUCGGAAUUGCUAGUAAUCGCGGAUCAGCAUGCCGCGGUGAAUACGUUCCCGGGCCCUGUACACACCGCCCGUCACACCAUGAGAGUUGGAGAUACCCGAAGCCUAUGAGCUAACUUUUAGAGGCAGUAGUCGAAGGUAGAAUCAAUGAUUGGGGUGAAGUCGUAACAAGGUACC